rnacentral:rRNA from 1 species
GGCUGUGUUUAUAGAGAAGGGGAAAUACCUGUUUCCAUCCCGAACACAGAAGUCAAGCCCUUCAUCGGCGGUGGUACUGCACUAUUAAGUGUGGGAGAGCCGCAAGAUGCAGCCC